rnacentral:misc_RNA from 1 species
UAACGAAAUUUUUAUCUAAAUUUCGUCAAUCAUAGAUGAAAGAUAUAAAUCUAUACAUUUGUAUCUUGAAUUCAUGAUUGAUCAGGUCUAGAUAAGUUUUUUCAUUGAUUCUUGAAUUCUAUGGAUUUCUAUUUGUUUCUUAAUUUGCUUUGUUUUCUGAAAAUUAAAUUUUUUUUUCUUGGGAAAAUUAGUUCUAAUAAAUGUGCUAUUCCUGCACUUGCAAAGUCGAAAAUAGGGUACAAAUUCUAACCUGGGUUGCUUUCUAGGAAAUAAGUAAUGUGAACAGGAAGGAGAAAUUAGAGCUAAUAGAUCAUGUGUUGGCUAACAAGGAGGAUAACUUUCCCAUUAUAACCCAGGUAUGUUUGUUUUAUUUUCUUACUUACAAUCGCAAGUAUUUUUAGAUUAAUUUGCCCAUAUUAAAACUAAAUAUUUUCUUCAAACGAUCUUAAUUAAAAGUAUAAUCCCCACACCUAUUUAAUAUAUUCAAAAUUUUUAAAUAAUUUUCAAGUAUUUUAUAAUAAACGAAUAAGAGCUUUCAUCUUUAUCAAUUAGACUAAUUAACCCUAACGGACACAUGUUUCAUAUUAAUGCUUCAAGUUUUGAAAGUUUAUUUAUUAUUGUAUUACCAUAUACCUGUAUCUCUCUGCCUUUAGUUCAAUUUGGCCAAAGCAUUCCCACUCUUUAGUGUUUUGAAUUUGAGAAUAAUGUGAUCACUUUCACACCACAUAGCUACGUACCUCUUAUUUCUAUGAUUCAAAUGGACCUUGACUGCUGCUACUUUUGGGUGA